UUUUUUUUCUUCUGAUGAACAUUCAUUGGCUAACUUCGUUGACUUAAGAACACUGAGUCAUGUCUGACUUGGAGACCAUCGAGCUAGCCGCUCUGGGCCGACCCUUCCAGCUGGGGAUGCUGUAUGACUGUCGUAGAGAUGUCCUCAUUCCAGGUAUCACUCUCUGGGAUUCUGAGAUGCUUCAGAAACACAUCAAUGUUCGUCCACAACCGAUCACUGACUUCAAAAUCAUUAUUUCAGACUCAAGUGAAGACAAGUCAGAAGCUUUGAAUGUGUCUGCAUCUCUUGAGGCCAGUUUUCUUUGUGGCUUAGUCAGUGUGAAGGGUUCUGCUGAAUUCCUACAUGA